AUUGAACGCUGGCGGCAGGCCUAACACAUGCAAGUCGAGCGGAUGAUGGGAGCUUGCUCCUGGAUUCAGCGGCGGACGGGUGAGUAAUGCCUAGGAAUCUGCCUGGUAGUGGGGGACAACGUUUCGAAAGGAACGCUAAUACCGCAUACGUCCUACGGGAGAAAGCAGGGGACCUUCGGGCCUUGCGCUAUCAGAUGAGCCUAGGUCGGAUUAGCUUGUUGGUGAGGUAAUGGCUCACCAAGGCGACGAUCCGUAACUGGUCUGAGAGGAUGAUCAGUCACACUGGAACUGAGACACGGUCCAGACUCCUACGGGAGGCAGCAGUGGGGAAUAUUGGACAAUGGGCGAAAGCCCGAUCCAGCCAUGCCGCGUGUGUGAAGAAGGUCUUCGGAUUGUAAAGCACUUUAAGUUGGGAGGAAGGGUUGUAGAUUAAUACUCUGCAAUUUUGACGUUACUGACAGAAUAAGCACCGGCUAACUCUGUGCCAGCCGCCGCGGUAAAAC
rnacentral:rRNA from 1 species